ACAUUAUCAACCCCAGUGGGAUUUUAAUAUCCAAACUGGUUGGCUUUGGACUUGGGGGCUUUGCUGGCCGUUUCAAUUCGGUCAGCUCCCCUUGAAUGCAUUAGCUUGGACUUGUUCUACGGGCUACUUGGCGUGAUAACUAUCUACGCUUUGGUACUGUCUGUGGGAUACUUAUGGGUCUGGCUUCUAAUCGUCUUUCGGGACAAUUACUUUUUAAGUU
rnacentral:misc_RNA from 1 species